AUGGAGCAGUUCCCGUGCCUGUUCGACCCUCGGUGUGCGCGAUCGUGGAUCACCUACACCGGGGCGUACCACAUUGCGUACCUCCUCAAGAUUGUCACCGGCGGCGCCCCGCUGCCGCAGGACAUGGCCGGGUUCGUCGGUGCCGUUCGGCAUUACCUCGGCGACCAGGUGUACGACGUCGCGAGGAUGGCGGCCGACCCCGACUGCCCGGCCAUGCCCCUGGGGCUGGAGCGCAUCGCCACUCACCUCGGCUUCCGUCCGCCGUUGGGGAGCCCUCGCCUGGCGGCUGCCGCCGGUGUGCACGCGCUGCAGGUCUUCAUGCGGCUCAAGUACAGAGAGUUGGGCGGCGACGUGGAGAGACACCGAGGCCUGCUUCAUGGCCUGCACUACUAG
rnacentral:rRNA from 1 species